rnacentral:rRNA from 1 species
UACAGAGGUCUCAAGCGUUGUUCGGAUUCAUUGGGCGUAAAGGGUGCGUAGGCGGCGCCGUAAGUCAGGUGUGAAAUCUCGGGGCUUAACUCCGAAACUGCAUUUGAUACUGCGGUGCUUGAGGACUGGAGAGGAGACUGGAAUUUACGGUGUAGCGGUGAAAUGCGUAGAUAUCGUAAGGAAGACCAGUGGCGAAGGCGGGUCUCUGGACAGUUCCUGACACUGAGGCACGAAGGCCAGGGGAGCAAACGGG